rnacentral:lncRNA from 1 species
CCUCUUAAUUGUACUUUGGCUUCUGGGGUAUGCGUCCAAAACCACAGGUUCAAUAAGCCGAGGUGGUUUGAUUGUCCCCCAUAACUUGGGUACAUCAAUUUCCUUUUCUGGUUCUGUCUCGGUGAUUUUACUCUUCUUUUCCUCUCCCUCUUACUUCAAGGCCGCCCUUGGCUUUCUUUCCGCAUCAGCAACAACAAUUAUGGCUUUUAAGGCUGGAUCAAAUUACCUUACUCACAAAUCACCCUGAUUACUGGCCCGUUGUUGCGGGCUGGCAAUGGAUUAUUGGUCACAUUGGGGUCCUCUUCACCCCUUUGCACUAUUUUUCCUUGUUCUAUCAAGUUCUCCACCGCUAUUUUCAAAGUUAAACAAUCAUUUGUAUCAUGCCUUUCUACCCCUGAAUGAUAGGCACAUCUGACACCCCGCUGAUAUGAUAGUGAUUCCGGGUUUUAG